rnacentral:lncRNA from 1 species
GAAAGAGAUAGACUAGAAACGACAUCUGUUAUGUCAAUGACACCAAAGGGAUAUUAAAUGAAUGGAAUUGGGAUAUGGAUGGAAUAUAAUGAAAUAGAGCCACUUUGAGGUUCCCUCUGAAAUGAGGCAUGUAAGGGAGCCACUACGAAGAAGUUCCGGGAGUUACGAAGGAAGCUUCGAGCUCAUAUUGGUCAUGGGUUGGGAACGGGAAUUGAACUCUAUGAGAUCGAAUCUCCUGUUGUUCCUCAGUAGCAAUUUUUCUAUGUGUUUGGGGAUUCCUUUUUUUUUUGUGAAGCUGUCCGCGUGAAUUGUGACGCCUCAAUAUUUGAGGGGCCUUCAUUGGCGGUCACGUGGCAGUAAAUUGUUUUGAGAUUGCUCAGCCGCCAUUUGCCAUAUAUAUGAAUAUAUUAUUUUAUUUCAUUUAAUCCAUUAAGCUGACUGCUUGAUUUUCUUCUUCAACCUUCAACCUUCCAUCUUUAAUUCAUUUUAGGUCCAAACUUCUUCAUUUUUUCCACCAAUUUAAUCCUACAAAUAAAAUAUACUAUUCAACACAAUCCAUAAAAUUUCUGCUAAAAAAGGACAAAUAUAAAUAAUAAAUGUGAGGCAAAUAAUGAUUAAAAAUAUGUAUUUUGUCCUCACAUCAGUUACCCUGACUGAUUACAUUUGUAAGCAUUUUAGAGGAAGUGGUCCAUUCGAGGGAUUUGUUUAGUUCUUUUUUUACACGGACCAGGUCCCUCUCCAACACCAUAUUUCUUUCAAGAGCCAAGUUCAUCUUCAUUUCAGUAGUGUUCAGCUUAUUUUCAAGCUCUAGCUGGAAGCUACUGGCCUCGUUCUUUCCUUUAGAUGUUGUAGUCGUCACCCCUUUUGUCUUUUCCUUUAGUUCUAGAUUUUCAGUUUCCAGAACUAUCAAUUAUUCUUCCAUAACAGACAUUUGGUCAACCAAGGUUACCUUUUCUUCAUGAAGGAUAUCUAGGAUGUUGUUCAUCAGAUCCUUUUCAGUUGUUAACUAAAUGAUAAAGUCAAUUAAAACAGCGGCUAGAUUCCUCAACCUUUUGGCAGAAUAAACAUGCAAAUUUUGUUUAAGGUCAGAAAGGGUUACCUCUUCUUCAGCUUCUUCACCAUCAGAUUUUGCCACAAAGGCAAACAUUUCAUCGAAGCUAACAUCAUCAUCUUUCACUGCAAGCAUGGAAGCAUCUUCAGGAUGGUCAGACUACUCUGAGUCACUUGAGGUGUCUUCACAGACUUCAAGGGCCUUCUUCACACCAUAGUACGCAGCUGGUUUUCUUCGACUCUUAUCAGGAACCAUGUCCUUUCUCUUGUCCUUUUCUCCUCCAGCCUUGACAUAAUCUUUAUAUUCAAGUUUGUGACAAAGAUCGUUUGCAUUUACAGCCCUGCUGGAGUUUCCUCCCUUUUGAAGACCUUCAUAUUUCCUUACUAUUUUCUGAAAUUUCUUAGCGAGGUAUGCCAUGUCCUCAUCUUUAUCAGAGGUUUCACGUGAUGUCACUUUAAGAGCUAGUGACUUGUCCUGAACCUAGUCCCUUCUUUUGUUUUUGCCUUUGAGAGUGAGACCGUCCAUUCUUCUGUGCAUCUCAUGAACUUGAAGAUGUUCAAAUAGAGCAUCCAACGAUAAUACUUCAGGAUCCUCUGCCUUAUAGACCAUAUCAAGUUUAUCAAUCCAAGAUUUGGGAAGAAUCUCCUGUAUCUUAGUAACCUGCUUCCACGCAGUGACUGGCUCUUCUAGGAACAUGAGCUCAUUUGUAAUAGUGGAGAAUCUAGUACGCAUUUCAUGAAUAGAUUCACCUUCUUCCAAGGUGAAGCUUUCAAACUGAGUGGUUAAUAUAUCUAACUUAGAUUUUUUUGUUUGCUCAAUAUUUCAUACACUAUUCUCAAGCGAUUCCAGACUUCCUUGGCUGAUUCACAAGAUGAAAUCAGAUUAUAUUCAUUUGCUCCGAUUCCACACAUUAAGAUCUUCCUAACCUUGUAAUUUUUCUCAACUUCCCUUUUGUCAAAGUCGUUGUAUUGCUGUCGGGUUUUGAGAACGACCCUUGUGACAACCCCAUCUUUUACUUCUAUAGUUGGCAUAUAGGGACCCUCACAAAUAACAUUCCACAUAUCACAAUCUUCAACCAAUAUAUAGUCAAACAUGCACUUUUUCCACCACCAAUAGUACUGACCAUCAAAUAGACGUGGCUUCGUUGGAGACUGACCUUCUUGCAAGCCUAGUGGAGCAGCCAUUAUUCGUGGGAAUCUCUCUCUUGGUGUUAACCAGAUAGAUAGACCAAGCUCUAAUACCAAUUGUUGGCAUAUAUGCAUCUACUAUCAGUCAACGGACCAGGUCCCUUGACUCAGCAAGAACAAUAAUUGAAGUAAAACGAGAGAAAAUAAAUGGCACAAUGUAAAUUGGGCACAGUGAUUUUACGUGGAAACCUCCUUGCUCAAGGGAGUAAAACCACGACCUAUCGCACAGGAUUUUCAACUAUUUUCACUAAUAUUCUCAAGCAAAAGUGAAAAACAGAUUACAACCACCAAGAGAUUAAACACUUAAUCUCAACACUAAGUAAUACGCCUAUUACUCACUAAGCCUAAGCAGAUACCACACUACCCACUAAGUCAUCCCACCCUAGAUAACUUAGACUUUAACUAAGCAGAUACAACACUGCCCACUAAAUUAGCUAGCUCCUAGAUGACUUAGAAUUUGACUAAGCAGAUACAACACUGUCCACUAAAUCAAUUAACCUUAACCGACUUAGACUUUCAGAUGAACAAAACAAAGAUGUAAUUCCUUUAUAACACAUGAAUGGAUUUACAAUGUAAGCACAUAAGAAACAAAGCUCAAAAUACAACAAAGACUCUUUAGCACUCUAUCAUGUCCCUUUGUUGAGUUGAGCAGUGUUCUUCCUUGAAGAUGGCCUUCUUUUCAAGCUUAUGAAUUUUCAUAGAAAAUCCAAAUUUUUGUUUGCCAAAUCUUGGGUUUGUGUUUGGAGAAGAGACUAUUAUCAAGAUGGACAUAAAUCCUUGGGACAAGGCCAUUGGCUGGGAGCCUGUUGUUCUCAAAGGCUAUGCACCAACUACAUCAGAGUUGGCAGCCUUUUGACAGCUGCGUUUUCAUCCUUUUCUCAUACGCAGACUUUUCGAGACCAGAUCCCUUGCUGCGUUCUUUGAUGCUUGAGUUGUUGAAAAACACUUGCUAGCUCUCUUUCUUUUUGAAUGAAUACUAUUGUUUGUUUAUUGUUGUAUAUAUCAGUUACCAACAAGGGUUUUGACCACUUAAACAAACAACUUUGUCCUCCCUUCCUAUUAGUGAAGUACGCUGCACAUCUCACCAACCAACCUGACAAGACAACUGUAAAGAUAACUUUACAAUUGUGCACCACUUUGAAUCUGGACUGAAGUACUCUGCCAAGGACCGGGUCCCUGCAUUUGUGAGGAUCAUCAAAACACUAGAAUAUAAUAGCUUAUUUAUAUUCAGAAUAAUAUAUUCUCAACCCAAAAUCUCUCACGUUUACUGAGGGGUUUAAUCCCCUGCACACAAGAGAACAUUUUUUUGAAUCCCUCGAUGAAAAUCAUGCCUUCACCUCUAUUGUCUUCAAAUAUAUCUUCUUUCCUGGUGCUCGAUCAUGUAUCAUUAUUUUCUGGUAAAUGAUAAAAAUUUAUGCAGUUGCAGACAUUGAACACUAGCUAUUUACAAUACAUUGCUGAAUUGUAUUUGGAUAUUGCCUUGUAUCAUUUUAAUUUUCAGAGUUGCUAACAGACUUGUUUUAUUAGACCAUGAGGAAUGUUUGGGCAUCUAGUUUAGAUACAAUCAGAAAUUUUCUUUGUAAUGUUCUCGAUGGAAUUCUAGGGUGCUUGCCUUGGAAAGAUGCAGUGAAGACCAGUAUCUUGUCAAAAAACUGGAGGUACAGAUGGAUAACACGUCAAGAACUUGAUUUUAAUGAUGAGUUUUUCAAAUCUUUCAAACAACAUGAAAUUUUUUGAAUCCCACGAUGAAAAUUUUGCCUUCACCACUAUUGUCUUCAAUCUAUGUUCUUUUCUGUGCUCAAUCAUGUAUCAUUCUCUAUGAUAUUGUUAAAUGAUAAAAAAUUAUGCAGUUGCAGACGGUGAACCACCAGUUAUUUUCAAUACAUUACUGAAAUGUAUUUGGAUAUUGCCUUUAUUCCUGAUUUUAAUUUUCAGAGUUGCUGGCAAACUUGUUCUGUUAGACCAUGAGGAAUGCUCAGACAUUUGGUGUAGAUACAUUUAGCAAUUUGCCUUGUAAUGUUUUGGAUGUUAUUCUUGGGCGCUUGUCUUUUGAAGAUGUAGUGAAGAGCAGUAUCUUGUCAAUAGAUUGGAGGUACAAAUGGGUAACACGUCAAGAACCUGAUUUUAAUGAUGUGUUUUUCAAGUCUUUCAAAUAAGAUGAAGAAGGCUCAACUCGGUUUUUGGAACUUCAAGAUUGCUUGUUCCACCCUCCACUCGGUUUCAAAGGGUUUGAGAAGCUUAUUAAUCUCGAUCUUGUGCGUGUCACUUUUGAUCCAUCAAUAUUUACAAAUCUCAUCUCUAAAAGCCCGUUGCUUGAACGAUUGAGGUUGCGUUUCUGCACAAACUUUGACAUCCUUGAAAUUGAUACCGCUAAUCUCAAAUUCUUUGAGUUUGUUGGAAAUAUAAAAUCCAUUUCCUUCAAGAACGCUCCUAUGCUUGAAAAAGUUAUUUUGGCUUUCCUUGGACGACCUCUCCUCUUGUUUUAAUAUGAAUUGACUCCGCUUCGGUCACUUUCAACUUUUGACUAAUAUAUCUCCUGUUAGGUCCAGUCUUACAAGUUCUUCCAUUACAUGCCUUCACUGCUGGAACUAAAUCUAUGGGGUUCAACAUUAGAGCUAAUGUACAUUUGUGAUAUUACUAUCAUAACUAAAUGAUGAAUUUGAUUGGUGCCUUAAAGUAAUUUUUGACUUUCUUCUAGUACUUGAUCAAGGGAUGUUUACCAGAGAGUCCCCCAACAGCUCUGAACAAUAUCAAAUCUCUCAAUAUUUCGUCCAUGUCUUUAAGAAGCGUCGAGGUGGUUUCAAGUGCAGUUUACUUGAUUAGAAGUUGUCCUAAAUUACAAGAUCUUACAAUUGAAUUUGUAAGCACUCUCUUGUUUUUUUCAUUAAUAAGGUUUCUUCUUCAUCUGAACUCGCCUAAUUAACUGUUCCUUGGAAAUUCUUUUAGGACCCUGUGGCCGUGGAGGAUAUUGUUGAACCUGUUGUAGAAUUUCUAAGAUUCCAAUCAUUCUCAUUAGGUGCUGAGAAGCUUCAAAGAGUUCAUGUGAACUUGUUUAUGGGUCUUGAGAUGGAAAUGGAAUUUAUGAAGUUCAUUUUGGCCUCUGCACUUGUACUUAAGGAGAUUUUCAUUUGGAAUUUUGUGUAUCUCCUUCAUCGUUCGGAUAAACAAAUGAUGGACGAGAUGAAAGAAUCCCGCAGAGCAUCACCAAAUGUUGAAUUCAUAUUUGAAUAAGUCGAGUUGGAAGAUUGCUGUGAACCCCAAGAAGUCAUGGAAGUGCCAUGGUUUUGCUUAAAUAGUACUAUUUUUUGUAGCACUUCUUGUGCUUUAGUUUGUUUGUUAUGACUUUUCAAUCAAAUUCAAGGCCAACAUGGUGAUGCCAUGUGUUUAAAUAAUGUGGCAGCUCCGAGUCAAAAUAAAAGCAUAUCAAAAUCUGCCACGUGUUCAAAAAGGCGUGUAUUGACCGAUUACAAGCAAAAGUUACAAUAUAUAUAGAGAGAUACAUACAUCAUAAACAACAUUGUUUCUACAGAAAAGGAAUGAAACAAAUUUGGUAACCUUUUUACACAAUAAACAUUGAAUCAUUAUUUUCUCACAAAUAAUAUUACUCUUAAUUGUUAGUUUCUUAGAGAUCUAACUUUAUAUGGUUCCUUUCAUAAAAAGAUAAGGCGGUGAUUGUUAUGGGUCCAACAGGACGGAUUGAUCUAGCCUUUCCAUAGAUCUAGCCGAUUCAGAGGUUGUGAAUAAUUGACAAACACAUCCAUCUAGAUCUAUGGGAAGUUUUAGAUUUUCCCGUUCCUGUUGCACCCAUGACUAUUACUACCUUGUUAUGAGAUCCCAAUCCAGAACGUAUUCGCAUAAGAGGUUGUCAUGAGAUCUUUCACUCCAUACUUAGAUCUUAUGUUGCUCGAACUCAGGUGCAGAUGUCCGAUACGGGGUGCGGAUCUAGAGGUCGGGUCGGAUCCUCUAUGAUCUACUCUUUAAGACUCGUGGAUAUAGAUCCAUGUAUGGAAGGGGGUGGGAUUGAGCUAAAAAUAAUUCAUAUACAGAAAACUUGAGGAUAAAAUAUUUUGUCAAGAGGAGAAUUCUGAAAGGAGAUAAAAGGAAACGGAGUGAUAAUAGAAAUUUAAACAUACAAGGUACUCAAUUUUCUUCAAUUUCACAUUAGUUUUUUGUUUAGAAUUUCCCCCUCAAAUUUGGUCAAAAUACCCAAAACUGGUUGACCAGAUUGGGUACGAAUCUCACAUCCACUGACCCACACCCCAUCGUGUUGACAUGAGUGCGACAUUUAAAGUGAAGGAGUCCGAGCAACUUAAGUUAAACCCUCUCAUAAACAAAUAUUUGCGAAUGAUGCAAUGCAAAAGUUAAAAAUCUAUAAACAUGAAGAAAAUUGAUGACGUUCUGAUCUUAGUUACUCAGUUAUAAAAUCCGUGACUUACAAUUAUAGUGUUGCUCUGUCAUGUCAAUUUUCUGUUUUUUUUCUUCUUUAUACAUGUUCCCCUUUAAGUAUAAUAGUUGUAUAAUCUUGACGUUUUAGCAAGCUAUGUUUAUUGUUGUAAAUACUGUGCAGUUCGUGUUGUUGCAGCUCAAAGUAGUAAGGAUUUAAUAUCGUAAGGAGAAUUAGAAGAAAAAAGGGCGAUCUUUGUGUGAAAAAGUUGUUAAUUGGUUUUUAGCUUAUUUAUAUUAGCCUUUAUGAUCCAGGGCAAUGCAAGUGAUGUAGUAAUUGACAUGUUGUUACGUUUUAUUGUCUUCUAAUUUAUGGCUUCCUCUUGUUUAUUAGGAGGAGUUUGUCUCUACUAAAUAAAUACUAUUUCUAAUAGAAUUAUUAUAAUAUAUUUUUUCAAUUUUUAAAUAAAAUUCAUUUGUAUUUUAUUUCUUGAAUGAAUAAUUUCAAUAUAUAUAUAUUGUAACAUCCGACAAUUUGAAAUAGCUAAGAAGAGGCUUAGAAAUUGAAGAUUUUCAUUUUUGGAAAGGAUUUGAAAAUCUGGAAAAAAAUUGGCUAAGUGUGGAAAUCAGUGAUUUUUGGCCAACUUUGAGCAGUCAUAACUUCCAGCUCAGGAUGAUUUAGGAGUAGUUCCAGUUAUGGUUGUGAAGCUUGUGGAAUGAUCUUUCCAACGCCGCCGAGUUUGCUCAAUUCCGAGUUCGUAUGAGCGAGUUAUGGCCCUUUGAAAGUNNNNNNNNNNNNNNNNNNNNNNNNNNNNNNNNNNNNNNNNNNNNNNNNNNNNNNNNNNNNNNNNNNNNNNNNNNNNNNNNNNNNNNNNNNNNNNNNNNNNNNNNNNNNNNNNNNNNNNNNNNNNNNNNNNNNNNNNNNNNNNNNNNNNNNNNNNNNNNNNNNNNNNNNNNNNNNNNNNNNNNNNNNNNNNNNNNNNNNNNNNNNNNNNNNNNNNNNNNNNNNNNNNNNNNNNNNNNNNNNNNNNNNNNNNNNNNNNNNNNNNNNNNNNNNNNNNNNNNNNNNNNNNNNNNNNNNNNNNNNNNNNNNNNNNNNNNNNNNNNNNNNNNNNNNNNNNNNNNNNNNNNNNNNNNNNNNNNNNNNNNNNNNNNNNNNNNNNNNNNNNNNNNNNNNNNNNNNNNNNNNNNNNNNNNNNNNNNNNNNNNNNNNNNNNNNNNNNNNNNNNNNNNNNNNNNNNNNNNNNNNNNNNNNNNNNNNNNNNNNNNNNNNNNNNNNNNNNNNNNNNNNNNNNNNNNNNNNNNNNNNNNNNNNNNNNNNNNNNNNNNNNNNNNNNNNNNNNNNNNNNNNNNNNNNNNNNNNNNNNNNNNNNNNNNNNNNNNNNNNNNNNNNNNNNNNNNNNNNNNNNNNNNNNNNNNNNNNNNNNNNNNNNNNNNNNNNNNNNNNNNNNNNNNNNNNNNNNNNNNNNNNNNNNNNNNNNNNNNNNNNNNNAGUCAAGAGUUUAACGUUGAGUUCAUUUCUCAAAAGCUAUUAGGGAACUAUGUAUUUCCAAAGAAGUUUCUAAAUGUUUUUACAUUUGAGUAAGGAAGGAACUAUGAUUCUAAAAGAGCCUUAGGGCUAGUUUUCAAGAAAAGGAAUAUCGUUUCCAAGUGAGCCUUUGGGCUAGAUUUUGAGUAAUUAUCUCAUUUAAAGAAAGAUGUGUUUAAAACACUUAUGAGUCAAAAGCAUUUUGGGAGUAGUAUCGAGCACCGAUUUGGAGACGCGAGUUCAUAUUAAACUCAACUCUCCAUAAGAACCAUGUAGCCAACCAUGGGAUUUCUCGGAUCAUACUUUUUAGAUGAUCACGAAAGUUAAGCUAGUGGAUCCAUUAAGCAAAAGUUAAAGUAAGGUCCUAUAUCGAUGGCAAGGUAUAGGAUGGUCCUUUGGCAACGUGAGGUAAAACGUUGUAUCUUUAGCUUCCUAUAUCACGGCAAGGUAUAUGAUGGUCCUCAGGCAACGUGAGGUAAAACGUUGUAUCUUUAGCUUCCUAUAUCACGGCAAGGUAUAUGAUGGUCCUCAGGCAACGUGAGGUAAAACGUUGUAUCUUUAGCUUCCUAUAUCACGGCAAGGUAUAUGAUGGUCCUCAGGCAACGUGAGGUAAAACGUUGUAUCUUUAGCUUCCUAUAUCACGGCAAGGUAUAUGAUGGUCCUCAGGCAACGUGAGGUAAAACGUUGUAUCACCACUCAUAUUCAUAGUGGUGGUUUGUCGGUUAGAGAAGCUCCCACAGUAGAAAGAGCAUGGUUCCUAGAGAGUUCUGCUUAGUAUGGAUGGGGGUAUGGGACUUCAUUCAUGCAUUGCACAAGUAGACCUUGAGAGGAAGCAUGAUAUUUUCAUGAUAUUAUAAAUAUGAUUUUUCGUCAUGUUUUAAGAGUUUUACAAGCUUUAUAUAUCGCAUGUGUCUUAUUGCUUUAUAUAUUGAGUUCAGUUAUUCGUGAGUUGAACAGAGCCAAGGUAAGUGUUCUCUUAUAUUCUUUUCAAGCUUAAGUUGUGGUUUAGCUUUCCAGCUCGCAUACUCGUACAUUCCAUGUACUGAUGCCAGUUGGCCUGCAUCGUUUUAUGAUGCAGACGCAGGUACCCAGGAUCAGCACUCUGCACGCCGUUGAUCCAGCUGAGCACUCUAGAGUCAGUGGUGAGCCUCCUUGCUUUCCGGAGGACUCGGUUAUUUUGUGUCUCUAGUUUUAUUUCGUUAGGAUGUUGCGGGGACUGUCCCAGCAUCCAUCUCAGUAUGUUAGAGGCUUCAUAGACAGUUAGUCAGUUAGUUUUGAGUCUCUUAUCUAUGUAUAUAUGUAAGUAUUCUAUUUUGAGACUCGAGUUGCCUUUUUGGCCAGAUAUGUAUCAUUUAAGUUGUUUAUGUCUCUGCAUAGCAUUGAGUUAUUCUGUUGAGUAGGUUUCCGCUGAGUUAAGAAAGCCAGGCCAAGGGUUCGCUUGGGGCCAGCAAUGGUCUCCGAGUGCCGGUCCCGCCCAGGGUGUAGGCUCGGGGCGUGACAUAUAUUCAGGAUCCGUGUCAGCACGGGACCCAAUAUAUAUAUUUUUUUUCUCAAUUUAUGUGAUACAUAUGAAACUUGAGAAGUUAUUCAAUUUUUUAAUAUAAUAUUUUAAAUUGUUAAUAUAGAAGAAAAAUAAGGAAUGACUCCUUUGUCAAUUAAUUUUCAUGACAAACUCAACAAUUGCCAGACAAUUGAUGAAACACACAGGUGGAAUUAGCUGCUAACUAUGGCUUCUAUAUUAUUUUAAAAAAAAUUAAGAGAAAGAGAAAAGAGAGAAUAAGAAAAAUAUACUAUUAAUAUGUGAAAACGGCUACACAUUUUACUGUCUCCGGCUUUCGAUCUCUCAGAGACUCUCAGUACAGGUAAGCAUCUUGUAUAAUCUUUGAUUAUUUGCUCUCAAAUUGUUCAAUAAUCAACUUAUUAUCAAUCAAUCAUGCAGUUUAAUCGACUAAUUCACCAUAGUUUGUCCAAAUCAUCUUGUGUUUUCACGCUUCUGGAAUUUGAACCUUACAUAUUGUGAUUUUCAACCUAUGAUCAACCGGCCAGAAAUGAGUGGUAAUAUCACCAGAAGAUUAAUUUCUGAUUAUUUUUGAACCGGAGAAAUCACAAGUACUUGGUGGAUAAUGGACUCACUCCUCUAUGCUUCUUGACUUGAAUAUUAGGUUAGGGUUCGAACCUAUUGCAUGUAAGAAUUAGGGGGUAAAAGGAUCACAGCUAACUAAUUAGGACAUGCUGCAAAAAUAAUUGGAUUGGUAAUAUUUGGUUAUAUGACUUUUUAACAAAGUCAAUCAGAAAAUAAUUUAGACAUUUUGGUUUCCACAUGUAAUAAUUGUUAAUGGCAUGGAUGAGCCUUUUUUUCAAACAAAAAUGUUAUAAUGAUCCUUUUCUCAAAGUUAGAUGGCAUAUUUGAGCCUUUUCUCCCGUUUUAUUUAUCAUAUAUAAAUGGGCAAGUUAGGCUUACUUCAAGAGCUUAAAGUAAGAUGAGAUAAGGGAACAUUACUUUGUCGAUCUUAAUCUUGCAUUACUCCAAUCCCCUGGAUGUUCUAAGGUGUUAUAACUCAUUGUGCUUUCUAUGCUAUGUCUGUUUUAUCUACUAAAACUGCAUCAUUGGAUAGAGUAUAUAAUUAUUACUAUCUUGGGAAGUUAUAACUAUGGGACUUAUUUGUGAACUGUGAGUUCAAUUGGAAAGAAAAGUAAAGUGACCGCUUUUAAAUCAAGCUCAAAUAUUGAGGAACCUUGGCUAAUGCGAGGAGGAAAAUCCAUAUAUAAGUUUUCAAUAGAUUAGAUGGGCGGAAUAUCCUGAAGAGUAAUGAAACCUUUGUAGGAGCUUUAUUGAUACUAGUUGUGUUUUAUUUCGCUGUCAUCCCAUGUUUAUUGAAGGGGAUUCAACUAAAUACCAUUUUGCCAAAAGAUUGUAUUGUGUAUGUAGGUUAAAUAUUAUUUUAUGUGUACAUAUAUACUUGUUGAAUCCUCUGCAUACAAGAGAACAUUCCCUCAAUGAAAAUCUUGCCUUCACCACUAUUGUCUUCAAAUCUAUGUUCUUUUGUGGCGCUCAAUCAUGUAUCAUUAUUUUCUCUCUAUGAUAUUGGUUAAUGAUAGAAUUUUAUGCAGUUGUAGACGUUGAACCACUAGUUAUUUUCAAUACAUUGCUGAAAUGUAUUUGGAUAUUGCCUUUAUCCCUGAUUUUAAUUUUCAGAGUUGCUGACAAACUUGUUUGUUAGACCAUGAGGAAUGCUUCGACAUCUGGUGUAGAUACAAUUAGCAAUUUGCCAUGUAGUGUACUGGAUGCAAUUCUAAGGUGCUUGCCUUGGAAAGAUGCAGUGAAGACCAGUAUCUUGUCAAAAGACUGGAGGUACAAAUGGGUAACACGUCAAGAACUUGAUUUUAAUGAUGAGUUUUCAAGUCUUUCAAACAAGAUGAAGAAGCCAAGAGAAUUAUUUACCAAGUCCUAUUAGUCCAUAAAGGACCAAUAUUGAAGUUCAGACUCCGUAGUUUUACGAGUUGUCCUGAUAUUGAUCAUUGGAUGCUUGACGAAGAAAAAUGUCCAGGAAUUCACCCUUCAUGUAAGAUCAGGAACUCAUUUACCUCAUCACCUUUUUACAUUCCAGCAACUAAGGUUUUUGGAACUUCAAGAUUGCUUGUUCCACCCUCCACUCGGUUUCAAAGGGUUUGAGAAGCUUAUUCAUCUCGAUCUUAUGGAUGUGACAUUUGAUCCAUCAAUAUUAACAAAUCUCAUCUCUAAAAGCCCGUUGCUUGAACGGUUGAGGUUGCGUUCCAUCACAACUUUGACAUCCUUGAAAUUGAUGCUGCUAAUCUCAAAUUCUUUGAGUUUAUUGGAAAAACAAAUCCAUUUCCUUCAAGAACGCUCCUAUGCUUGAAAAAGUUACCGUGGGUUUCCUUGGACGACGACUUUUGACUGAUACAUCUCCUGUUUGCUCUAAUUUCCCAAAGUUCUUCCAUUACAUUCCUUCACUGCUGGAACUGGAUAUAUGCGGUACAACAUUAGAGGUAAUGUACUUUUGUGAUAUUACUAUCAUAACUAAAUGAUGAAUCUGAUUGGUGUUUUAAAGUAAUUUUUUAACUUUCUUGUAGUACUUGAUCAAGGGAGGGUUUACCAGAGAGUCCCCCAACUGCUCUGAACAAUAUCAAAUCUCUCACUAUUUCGUCCAUGUCUUGAAGAAGCGUCGAGGUGGUUUCAAGUGCUGUUUACUUGAUUAUAAGUUGUCCUAAAUUACAAGAUCUUACAAUUGACUUCGUAAGCACUCUCUUAAUUUUUUUUCAUUAAGGUGAUUGAAUAUGGUUUCUUAUUCAUCUGAACUCACCUAAUUAACCGUUACUCAAAAAUUCUUUAGUACCCUGUGGGAGAUAUUGUUGAACCUGCUGUACAGUUGCUACGAGCCCAAUCAUCCCCAUACGGUGUUGUGAAGCUUCAAAGAGUUCGAGUGAACAUGUUUACUAGUCUCGAGAUGGAAAUGGAGUUUAUGAAGUUUAUAUUGCCAUCUGCACCUGUACUUGGGGAGAUAUUCAUUUGGAAUUGUACGCGUUUCCUUUUUCGUUCUUGUAAAGAAAUGAUCGAUGAGAUGAAAGAAUUCCGCAGAGCAUCACCCAAUGUUGAAUUCACAUUUGAAGAAAUCGAUAUGGAAGGUGGAUCAUAUGAACAUGAAGAAGUCAUGGGAGUGCCAUGAUUUUGCUAACAUAUUUUGUUUUGUAGCACUUAGUUUGCCUGUUAUGCCCUGUCUGUCUAAUAUUAUGCAGUAUGUAUAUAUGUGCUUGGCUAAGUAAGUUUGAACUAUUUCAAGAACUGUGAUUCUACUUGUAAUGGUCACUGUAUUAUUAUGUUAUUCCCAUUUUUGGCCCGUGUUAUACAAUUAUGGAUAUUUAAUCUUUAAUUAACUUAAAUGCAUGUGUUGUCUUUGUCUAUAAAACUGAACAGAUGGGGUAAUCUUUUGUCAAGGUGGAGUCUAUCUAAAUUACUAAUAAAAAGGUUUACAAAGUGGAUACAUGAGACUUGGAGGUCUGAAUAGGGAUAAUUGAAUCAGUUUGGUAACAUCAAGGGCAUUUUUGUCCUAGUUUUAAUAGUUCAAAGGUCUUGUUGGGCCAAAAACUUAAUGAAGGAUAUUUUGUUUCAUUUUAUAUCAUUCGAGAUUCUUUUUGUUUUUUUCUCUAUUUUAUGAUAAUUUGUUAAGCACUUAAUUUCAGUCAUUUUUAAGAACCAAAUAUACACAUAAAGAUUAUAUUAGAUUAGUUACACUCUGUUUGGAUUGUUGUUACCCAUUGUUUCAUAUUGUACUCUAUUGUAUUGUACUUGUAAUCAUUUAAACUUUAUUAAAUAUAAAUUUAUAAAAUGAUUCGAAUUAUAUUAAAUUCAUGAAUAUAUUAGUCCAAAUAAAUAUUAUGGAUUAAUAUAAUUGGGCUAAUUAUUCAAGUCCAAUAAAUAUGAAUUUAAAUAAAGUCAAAAUAAUUGAUUUGGGCUAUAGAUGAGCCCAAUUUGCUAAGUCCAAUGUCAUCUUAUCCUAGAGGCCCAUUCUUUUGGUGUCACGUGGCAAAUGACGUGGCAUGCCAAGUCAAACAAAUAGGCCAAUAGGAUCAUGACAUGUGUCAAAGAUGACAAGCCCGCUCCAUAAAGCCCAUAUGCCAUGUCACUUAAAUCUGAUUGGCCGAAGGGAAUCCUGUUCCAAUCGCAACUCCUCUAUUCUAAAACUAUAAAUAGGGGUCCUCAUAAUUCGCGUCGAGAAAACAAUAAUCAAGAACGGAAAAUUAUAGCAACAAUCGUAUCUAUUAUUUCAAAGUGCGAAUGUUACAAUCUCUAUGAUUCCUCUGAAUUCGCCUUUUCAAAUAUGAUUCAAGGGCUUUAAAGCUUGAUCUUGAAUCUUUGAUGAAUUUGAACUUUGAACUUUAUCUUGAUCUUGACUUUUGCUUGAAUUCAAGGUCUUCGAGCUUGUUCUUGAAUCUGAUGGUCUUGAUCUUGAUCGUUCUUGUAACUUAAUACUUGAAUUCUUAAUCUUGUAGCUUUAUAGAGAAUUUUAUGGCGUUUGUACCACGGAUUUUCUCUAGCUUCUUGUUUAGAAUUUUUCGUGUCUUGUAUUCUGAAUUAUGAGGACCCAUAUUUAUAGUUUUAGAAUAGAGGAGUUGCGAUUGGAACAGGAUUCCCUUCAACCAAUUAGAUUUAGUGACAUGUCAUAUGGGCUUUAUGGAGCGGGCUUGUCAUCUUUGACACAUUUCAUGAUCCUAUUGGCCUAUUUGUUUGACUUGGCAUGCCACGUCAUUUGCCACGUGACACCAAAAGAAUGGGCCUCUAGGAUAAGAUGACAUUGGACUUAGCAAAUUGGGCUCAUCUAUAGCCCAAAUCAAUUAUUUUGACUUUAAUUAAAAUUCAUAUUUAUUGGACUUGAAUAAUUAGCCCAAUUAUAUUAAUCCAUAAUAUUUAUUUUGACUAAUAUAUUCAUGAAUUUAAUAUAAUUCGAAUCAUUUUAUAAAUUUAUAUUUAAUAAAUUUAAAUAGAUUACAAAUAGCCCCCUGCUUCAAGUCUUGUCGAGAUAUUUUAUCUUUUAAAGACUAGACUUGAAGUAAUUAAUGAAGAUCUUCUUUAAUAUGUGAAACAAUUUUGAGUUGCUGCAUGUUUAAUGAGAAAUUAUGAUUUUAAUUCUUCAUAAUAGUUACGUUCCUUUUUAAAAAGGAGGCCAAAUACAUGCAAAAUAAACCCACGUGGGUUUGCCUAUAUAGCAAGUUGCUUUAUGGCUUGAUAUUUUUUCAUAAAAGGCUCAAAUAUAUGACUUACUUUUAGUCAAUACAUGGACUGCUUUAGUUAACAGUAUCACCGCCUCAAAUAAUGAAUUCAAUUAGGAGUAGGAUUAUGAUUCAAUUGAAGCCGUUCUUUCUUUUGUUGUCUUAAUUCCAAUAGUAGUAGAAUUAAGAAAGCUUCCUAGCCCCACCGACCCUAUACAAAUAACAUUUUUGAAUUCUAUUAGGAGUCUAAUUGGGUCUUAAUUCUUAUUCCACUAGGAGUUAAAAACCCCAAUUUUUUAAGUCUAUAAAUAGGCCUCACGUCUCCAUAUUCUCUGAACACAUUCAGAGAUCGUGAAAUCCCUCUUCACAACAGAGAGAUUCUUGUGCUAAGGUAUUUUAUUUAUUUAUUUUGUACUUUUUUUUGUGUGUAUUUCUUUUCAGAGACCAACAAAAAUAGAGAGCUUCAUCGCACAAGAGUCUGAUCUUGAGGUGUGAAGAAAUGUGUUUAACGUCCCCGCCUUGAAAAAAAAUACUACUCUCAAGGUGUUACAAGGUCCCGAAUACUUAAACAACUUGAGGUUUUACUAGAAUAAUGUGUUUAACGUCCCCGUCUUGAAAAAAAAUACUACUCUCAAGGUGUUACAAGGUCCCGAAUACUUAAACAACUUGAGGUUUUACUAGAAUAAUGUGUUUAACGUCCCCGUCUUGAAAAAAAAUACUACUCUCAAGGUGUUACAAGGUCCCGAAUACUUAAACAACUUGAGGUUUUACUAGAAUAAUGUGUUUAACGUCCCCGUCUUGAAAAAAAAUACUACUCUCAAGGUGUUACAAGGUCCCGAAUACUUAAACAACUUGAGGUUUUACUAGAAUAAUGUGUUUAACGUCCCCGUCUUGAAAAAAAAUACUACUCUCAAGGCGUUACAAGGUCCCGAAUACUUAACCAACUUGAGGCUUUACUAGAAUACUUGUGUUUAACGUCCCCGCCUUGAAAAAAAAAUACUACUCUCAAGGCNNNNNNNNNNNNNNNNNNNNNNNNNNNNNNNNNNNNNNNNNNNNNNNNNNNNNNNNNNNNNNNNNNNNNNNNNNNNNNNNNNNNNNNNNNNNNNNNNNNNNNNNNNNNNNNNNNNNNNNNNNNNNNNNNNNNNNNNNNNNNNNNNNNNNNNNNNNNNNNNNNNNNNNNNNNNNNNNNNNNNNNNNNNNNNNNNNNNNNNNNNNNNNNNNACUAACUUGAGGCUUUUUUAAGAUCCCUAAUGCUUAAAUUAUUCGCCCCUUCUUAACUAACCCUUUUUAAAAAAAGUUUUAUCUUCUUUUGUGCAUCAUCAUAAGUAAACAUUAACAUUUUUUUUAAUUUUUUUUUUUUGCAAUUUGAACAAUGGUUUCUUCAAGGAUUAUACUUGCCCACCUUCUCAACUCAAAUAUCUCAUCGUUGGAACAGAGGGUAGUACAGUGGAGACUAUGUUUUUGGUCCAGGAUUCUUUUGUUGGUCGUUAUGUUGAUCCAUGGCCACAAUUGAGGAACACGCUUCAUAUGAGAAGUUGGACAUCUGAAUACGAUCAUAAAUCUAAUAAAGUCUCAAAAGCGUGGUAUCUUAAGAAACCAAAUCCUCAACGUACAAACAUCGCGAGCACUCCUUCAAACUUAGGUCGCCGCAUGAUUCUAGAGGAACUACAUUGGGGAGACAACAUUGUGCUUGAAGGUGAAUAUCACUGCAUUCCGGGAUAUUGGGAAUGGACAGAAGAUGUCUUAAGCAAAAAUGGGCAAAGUCUAAACAAUGCUUGUAUUUCUGAUGCUGUAUUUGCUUCCAUUUUUACUUAUGAUCGGAACUCCAAUAUUAUACAAGCCUUUUGUGAGGCUUGGUGCCCUCAAACAAUACAUUACUUACAUCUACCGGAGAAACAUCCAUAUCUCUUUGGGACUUGCAUAUUCUAGGUGUUUGCCAAUUAGCGGAGUCCCUUACGAAGAAGUGACACCUAACUCCACGGAACUUACAAGUUUGGAUGACAAGAGGGAAAGAUCUCUUCCUCGAACUUGCGAGUGUAUGUUUGAUGCCUUUCAUCAUCUUAAAGAUAAAAAUAAUGGUAAUGUGAGGGUCUCUUUUAAUGAAUGGAUACAAUUUUGGUGUAAGCAAGAUCGCAAAUAUGAGCUAGCUCCCCCAAGGAAAGAGAAGAAAUCUCGACGUCUGUCAUCUACUCAUAAUUCAACAAGUGAGAUACCUACUGAGAUAAACACAUGAUCAAGUACUCAAGAGAUGGUAUUUUCUAAGCUUGGAGCGAAACACCAAAAAUAUGAGACUUAUCUAACAGCUUUUUUGUCAUGUUGGUUAUAUGCCUUUGUAUUUCCGUCUAAAGAAGGGAAUUUCAUUUGGCCUGAAACUUUCAAGAUAGCAAGCUUAAUGGCGAGCGGUAAAAGGGUUAGCCUUGCGGUUCCGGUCUUAGCAAGCAUAUAUCAUGGCUUAAAUAAAAUUUCAAAUUCUUCACAGUUAGACCAUAUAAGAGUCUGUUUUCCCAUCCACUAUGUUUAUGGUUGGCUUGCUUAUUAUCUCAAGACACACUAUCCGCUUACUAGUGGACCUUUUCUUCCAUGAAUGGUGGUAUAUUCUAGGGAAGGCGUUGCAAAGUACUUUGACAAAGAUGAGGCAAGAAAGCGUGUUCAUCGGGGGGAAAGCAUUGUAUGGAAUGCAACCAUGCUUAGUAGGCCUCACCCAACUUAUUAUAUUGAUGAUGGAAAAGCACCAGAGUUGGAGCUAGCUUAUUUUAUGAGCCUUCGUUUUAACUAUCUUCCAUUGAGGAGGGGAGGUUCCUUUGUCGUUGAGCCAUAUAGUCCGCACCGAUUUAGUCGCCAAUUUGGUUUUCAUCAAGAUAUUCCUGGCUAUUUAGAAAAUGAUAUCCGUGCUGAGUCGCUUGAUGAAGGCCUUAGAUAUUGGCGCAUUUGCAUAUCACGUGCAACUAUGUCUAAAGCGACAUUUCCUCUUGCUGUAACUUCCACAAAGAAGCUUUAUACUACCCAAUAUUCAUUUUGGUGGGAGAGAUCCUAUGGAAUGGUUCUUGAGGAUAAUUUGGAUGUUAUGGUAGAGAAAGCUGGGUCAGAAUUUGUUACCCUUUUAGAAGACAAAAGUCAAGACACCACUUGCUCCCCAACAUCAAAGUAAGAAGCUUAACUCCUCUAAGGCAUCUAAGAAAGAAGUAGUUCCCACUGGACGUGCCAAAAUUUGUAGACAAUAAAAUUCGCGUCGAGAAAACAAUAAUCAAGAACGAAAAAUUAUAGCAACAAUCAUAUCUAUUAUUUCAAAGUGCGAGUGUUACAAUCUCUAUGAUUCCUCUGAAUUCGCCUUUUCAAAUAUAAAUUCAAGGGCUUUAAAGCUUGAUCUUGAAUCUUCGAUGAAUUUGAACUUUUGAACUUUAUCUUGAUCUUGACUUUUGCUUGAAUUCAAGGGCUUCGAGCUUGUUCUUGAAUCCGAUAGUCUUGAUCUUGAUCGUUCUUUAACUUGAAUACUUGAAUUCUUAAACUUGUAGCUUUAUAGAGAAUUUUAUGGUGUUUGUACCAUGGAUUUUCUCUAGCUUCUUGUUUAGAAUUUUUCCUGUCUUGUAUUCUGAAUUAUGAGGACCCCUAUUUAUAGUUUUAGAAUAAAGGAGUUGCGAUUGGAACAUGAUUCCCUUCGACCAAUCAGAUUUAAGUGACAUGCCAUAUGGGCUUUAUGGAGCGGGCUUGUCAUCUUUGACACAUGUCAUGAUCCUAUUGGGUUAUUUGUUUGACUUGACAUGCCACGUCAUUUGUCACGUGGCACCAAAAGAAUGGGCCUCUAGGAUAAGAUGACAUUGGACUUAGCAAAUUAGGCUCAUCUAUAGCCCAAAUCAAUUAUUUUGACUUUAAUUAAAUUCAUAUUAUUGGACUUGAAUAAUUAGCCCAAUUAUAUUAAUCCAUAAUUAUUUAUUUGGACUAAUAUAUUCAUGAAUUUAAUAUAAUUCGAAUUAUUUUAUAAAUUUAUAUUUAAUAAAUUUUAAAUGAUUACAGUACUGUAUGAUAGAUACAAUGUUUGUCUAGACUGUAUUGUUUGUUAUUGUUUAAUAACAUUUUAAUUGUUUGGUUCGACUGUAUCGUACUGGUAUUGUAAUUUAUAAAUUUACUAAAAUAUCCUUAAUUAUUCUAGGGUAGGAGGUUUGACUAGAAUUAAAUAAUAUAGGGUAACAUGUAAAAAAAGUAUUAUGAAAUAUUAUGUUAAGAUAUAAUUAGAAAAAGAAAUUAAGUAACAAUGGGAACACACCAAAUCGGUUGUUCCAUAAAAUAGGUGUUCUCAUUGUUACGUAACAACGAAAUUUAACAAUACAAUACAAUACAAUACAUUUUAAGCAACAAUCAAAACAAUUAUAACUUGUAUUUUCUAAAAAAUAAUUAUUUUUAAAUGCAAAUAAGAAAAAAAAUUGAGAAAAAACUUCAAAAUAUUAAAUAUUAUUUAAAAUGAUGAAUUUUAAAAGAGCUUUUCAUUGGUAGGGUUUAUAUAUUGAGGAUAUGGAAUUAGAUGUUAAUUUUAAAUAAUAAAAUUGAAUUAAUUUUUAAAUGUAAAAAUAACUGCCAUUUCAAAUCCAACUUUGAAAAAUCUGGAAACUGUAUAACCGUUGUUAUGUGAAAUUUUUUAAUAAUCUUAUCCUUUUUUAUUAUAUCAGUUUUUUCUCUUUCAAAUAAAAAUAGGCUCGAAUAGUUUUUAACUGAUUCGCUUAAAAAAAUUUGAACAUUUUUACCCUUUUAACUUUAAUAUCAUUUAAUUAAAAAAUGAAAAAAAGAUCAGUUUAUUUAAAAAUGAUAUUAAAACUUUUAAAAUUUCUGCCCAAAUUUUCUGACCAUUGCAUUACCCUUUUAGAAAUUCAUUACUGCCAUUGAUAAGAAAAAACUAAACUAAAAACAGCUACAUCACUUUAAAGUAAUGAUAAUAAAAAAAUCUAACCUCCAAAUUUACAUAAGCAAAUUUUAAAAAGUUAACAAAAAAACAAAACAAAGAAAGUACAUCUCUUUUAAACUAAUAAAACUCUUUAAAUAUAAUUAGAGUUAUUUAAAUAACUCAAUAUUUGCAUAUAGCCUUGUAUUCUUCUCGCAACCAACAUCCUCAUUCGUAAAACUUAUAAACUACUACUUACAAUGUGGAUAUUAUUUCAAUUUAGAAUCCAAAACUGUGUCAUCUAAAGAGUCCAAAUAAAACUAAAAGUGUUAUGCAAUUUUAUUCACAAUUAAAGUUAGUAGAAUGAGAAAUCUUAAAUAAGAAAAAUAUGAAUCUAUCACUAAAAUUUAUGUGAGAAUUUAUCACUAAAAUCAAAUAAAUAUAAAUAAACAAAUAAAUAAUUAAACUUACAUGGCUAGUGUUUCUAAUGAUAGCCUAUUGUCACGGGCUCGCGGCAUAACGAUUAUAGAAGAACUCACAAUUUCUAAAAUUUUAUGUCAUGAAAACUGAUUUUAAUUUCAAGAAACAAAAGGAGUACAGCAGGCUAUUAAGAGAUAAAACCGCUUCAAGUGUGCUUAUGUAUAUUUUUUAUUUUAUUUUUAGAAAAACUUGGGAAGUUACAUUUAAAAAAAAAUAAAAAACCGUCUAUACAGUUUUUUUUCCUUUUUAUGUUUGUAAUUUUUAUUUUUAAUUUUGGAUUUUUUAAUUCUAGAUAAACGUGGGAGGUUAUACAUUUUAUAAAAAAAAAA